rnacentral:rRNA from 1 species
GACGAACGCUGGCGGCGUGCUUAACACAUGCAAGUCGAACGGAAAGGCCCUGCUUUUGUGGGGUGCUCGAGUGGCGAACGGGUGAGUAACACGUGAGUAACCUGCCCUUGACUUUGGGAUAACUUCAGGAAACUGGGGCUAAUACCGGAUAGGAGCUCCUGCUGCAUGGUGGGGGUUGGAAAGUUUCGGCGGUUGGGGAUGGACUCGCGGCUUAUCAGCUUGUUGGUGGGGUAGUGGCUUACCAAGGCUUUGACGGGUAGCCGGCCUGAGAGGGUGACCGGCCACAUUGGGACUGAGAUACGGCCCAGACUCCUACGGGAGGCAGCAGUGGGGAAUAUUGCACAAUGGGCGGAAGCCUGAUGCAGCAACGCCGCGUGCGGGAUGACGGCCUUCGGGUUGUAAACCGCUUUCGCCUGUGACGAAGCGUGAGUGACGGUAAUGGGUAAAGAAGCACCGGCUAACUACGUGCCAGCAGCCGCGGUGAUACGUAGGGUGCGAGCGUUGUCCGGAUUUAUUGGGCGUAAAGGGCUCGCAGGUGGUUGAUCGCGUCGGAAGUGUAAUCUUGGGGCUUAACCCUGAGCGUGCUUUCGAUACGGGUUGACUUGAGGAAGGUAGGGGAGAAUGGAAUUCCUGGUGGAGCGGUGGAAUGCGCAGAUAUCAGGAGGAACACCAGUGGCGAAGGCGGUUCUCUGGGCCUUUCCUGACGCUGAGGAGCGAAAGCGUGGGGAGCGAACAGGCUUAGAUACCCUGGUAGUCCACGCUGUAAACGGUGGGUACUAGGUGUGGGGUCCAUUCCACGGGUUCCGUGCCGUAGCUAACGCUUUAAGUACCCCGCCUGGGGAGUACGGCCGCAAGGCUAAAACUCAAAGGAAUUGACGGGGCCCCGCACAAGCGGCGGAGCAUGCGGAUUAAUUCGAUGCAACGCGUAGAACCUUACCUGGGUUUGACAUGGAUCGGGAGUGCUCAGAGAUGGGUGUGCCUCUUUUGGGGUCGGUUCACAGGUGGUGCAUGGCUGUCGUCAGCUCGUGUCGUGAGAUGUUGGGUUAAGUCCCGCAACGAGCGCAACCCUUGUUCACUGUUGCCAGCACGUUAUGGUGGGGACUCAGUGGAGACCGCCGGGGUCAACUCGGAGGAAGGUGGGGAUGACGUCAAGUCAUCAUGCCCCUUAUGUCCAGGGCUUCACGCAUGCUACAAUGGCUGGUACAGAGAGUGGCGAGCCUGUGAGGGUGAGCGAAUCUCGGAAAGCCGGUCUCAGUUCGGAUUGGGGUCUGCAACUCGACCUCAUGAAGUCGGAGUCGCUAGCAAUCGCAGAUCAGCAACGCUGCGGUGAAUACGUUCCCGGG